AGUUAAGCGACUAAGCGUACACGGUGGAUGCCCUGGCAGUCAGAGGCGAUGAAGGACGUGCUAAUCUGCGAUAAGCGUCGGUAAGGUGAUAUGAACCGUUAUAACCGGCGAUUUCCGAAUGGGGAAACCCAGUGUGUUUCGACACACUAUCAUUAACUGAAUCCAUAGGUUAAUGAGGCGAACCGGGGGAACUGAAACAUCUAAGUACCCCGAGGAAAAGAAAUCAACCGAGAUUCCCCCAGUAGCGGCGAGCGAACGGGGAGGAGCCCAGAGCCUGAAUCAGUGUGUGUGUUAGUGGAAGCGUCUGGAAAGGCGCGCGAUACAGGGUGACAGCCCCGUACACAAAAAUACACAUAUUGUGAGCUCGAUGAGUAGGGCGGGACACGUGGUAUCCUGUCUGAAUAUGGGGGGACCAUCCUCCAAGGCUAAAUAC
rnacentral:rRNA from 1 species